rnacentral:rRNA from 1 species
UUACCGCGGCUGCUGGCACGUAGUUAGCCGGGACUUCUUCUGGAGAUACCGUCACUCCGCGAGGCUAUUAACCUCGGAAGCUUCGUCUCCCCUGAAAGCGGUUUACAACCCGAAGGCCUUCCUCCCGCACGCGGCGUUGCUGCGUCAGGCUUUCGCCCAUUGCGCAAGAUUCCCCACUGCUGCCUCCCGUAGG